CACGAGCUCACGUGACUUAAUGUUGUCUCUUCCAUCUUUCAAAGGAUCGACUGAGUGAGAGUUUUGCUGGACGAAAGUUUUUCAACUUUUUACCACUUUUCGACGAGUUUUCGAGCUGCAUUCCUGUCAAGAUGGAUAUAACAACGUUCGAGGAUUAUACUUAAGAGUUCUACUCACAUACAUAAGUCUUUAUUAGUAAUUGUUGCGCCUUGGAAGCAAGGAGACGAAAGAUAAGAGAACAACACUCAACAGCUGACCAAGUGAACCACGUUGGAUUUCACCGGAUUUUAUACUUUCCUGCGCCUCGAUAACUUCGAUUUUAAAACAUGGAUAAUAUAGAAAAAGACUGCAGCGCCCUAGGGGGACUGUUCCAGACGAUAAUAAACGAUAUGAAGAACAGUAACCCAGUUUGGGAAGACUUUGCUGCAAAGGCCAUCAAACUCAACACAGUGCUAAGAACUACAAUUCUCGCAGCAGGAGCUUUUUUAGAAGCUUUCCAAAAAGUCGCUGACAUUGCGACAAACUCUAGAGGUAAG